rnacentral:rRNA from 1 species
GAUGAACGCUGGCGGCGUGCUUAACACAUGCAAGUCGAACGAAGCACUUAUCUUUGAUUCUUCGGAUGAAGAGGUUUGUGACUGAGUGGCGGACGGGUGAGUAACGCGUGGGUAACCUGCCUCAUACAGGGGGAUAACAGUUAGAAAUGACUGCUAAUACCGCAUAAGACCACGGAGCCGCAUGGCUCAGUGGGAAAAACUCCGGUGGUAUGAGAUGGACCCGCGUCUGAUUAGGUAGUUGGUGGGGUAACGGCCUACCAAGCCAACGAUCAGUAGCCGACCUGAGAGGGUGACCGGCCACAUUGGGACUGAGACACGGCCCAAACUCCUACGGGAGGCAGCAGUGGGGAAUAUUGCACAAUGGGGGAAACCCUGAUGCAGCGACGCCGCGUGAGCGAAGAAGUAUUUCGGUAUGUAAAGCUCUAUCAGCAGGGAAGAAAAUGACGGUAC